rfam:Myotis brandtii contig232267, whole genome shotgun sequence.
GGCGGGGGGGGGGCAUCCCUCAGCCCAGAUUGCAAGAGGGCGCAGGCCAGGCUGAGGGACACCACCGGUGCACA